rnacentral:rRNA from 1 species
UGGGGAAUAUUGCACAAUGGGCGCAAGCCUGAUGCAGCCAUGCCGCGUGUGUGAAGAAGGCCUUCGGGUUGUAAAGCACUUUCAGCGGGGAGGAAGGCGUUAAGGUUAAUAACCUUGGCGAUUGACGUUACCCGCAGAAGAAGCACCGGCUAACUCCGUGCCAGCAGCCGCGGUAAUACGGAGGGUGCAAGCGUUAAUCGGAAUUACUGGGCGUAAAGCGCACGCAGGCGGUCUGUCAAGUCGGAUGUGAAAUCCCCGGGCUCAACCUGGGAACUGCAUUCGAAACUGGCAGGAUAGAGUCUUGUAGAGGGGGGUAGAAUUCCAGGUGUAGCGGUGAAAUGCGUAGAGAUCUGGAGGAAUACCGGUGGCGAAGGCGGCCCCCUGGACAAAGACUGACGCUCAGGUGCGAAAGCGUGGGGAGCAAACAGG